rnacentral:tRNA from 1 species
GCCUGGGUGGCUCAGUCGGUUAAGCGUCUGACUUCGGCUCAGGUCAUGAUCUCGCGGUCCGUGGGUUCGAGCCCCGCGUCGGGCU